rnacentral:rRNA from 1 species
CCUAAUACAUGCAAGUCGAGCGAACGGACGAGAAGCUUGCUUCUCUGAUGUUAGCGGCGGACGGGUGAGUAACACGUGGAUAACCUACCUAUAAGACUGGGAUAACUUCGGGAAACCGGAGCUAAUACCGGAUGAUAUUUUGAACCGCAUGGUUCAAAAGUGAAAGACGGUCUUGCUGUCACUUAUAGAUGGAUCCGCGCUGCAUUAGCUAGUUGGUAAGGUAACGGCUUACCAAGGCAACGAUGCAUAGCCGACCUGAGAGGGUGAUCGGCCACACUGGGACUGAGACACGGCCCAGACUCCUACGGGAGGCAGCAGUAGGGAAUCUUCGGCAAUGGGGGCAACCCUGACCGAGCAACGCCGCGUGAGUGAAGAAGGUUUUCGGAUCGUAAAGCUCUGUUGUUAGAGAAGAAUGAUGGUGGGAGUGGAAAAUCCACCAAGUGACGGUAACUAACCAGAAAGGGACGGCUAACUACGUGCCAGCAGCCGCGGUAAUACGUAGGUCCCGAGCGUUGUCCGGAUUUAUUGGGCGUAAAGCGAGCGCAGGCGGUUUUUUAAGUCUGAAGUUAAAGGCAUUGGCUCAACCAAUGUACGCUUUGGAAACUGGAGAACUUGAGUGCAGAAGGGGAGAGUGGAAUUCCAUGUGUAGCGGUGAAAUGCGUAGAUAUAUGGAGGAACACCGGUGGCGAAAGCGGCUCUCUGGUCUGUAACUGACGCUGAGGCUCGAAAGCGUGGGGAGCA